rnacentral:rRNA from 1 species
GACGAACGCUGGCGGCGUGCCUAAUACAUGCAAGUCGAGCGGACUGAAUGGGAGCUUGCUCUUGUUCGGUCAGCGGCGGACGGGUGAGUAACACGUGGGCAACCUGCCCGCAAGACCGGGAUAACUCCGGGAAACCGGAGCUAAUACCGGAUAACACCGAAGACCGCAUGGUCUUUGGUUGAAAGGCGGCGCAAGCUGCCACUUGCGGAUGGGCCCGCGGCGCAUUAGCUAGUUGGUGAGGUAACGGCUCACCAAGGCGACGAUGCGUAGCCGGCCUGAGAGGGUGACCGGCCACACUGGGACUGAGACACGGCCCAGACUCAUACGGGAGGCAGCAGUAGGGAAUCUUCCGAAAUGGGCGAAAGCCUGACGGAGCGACGCCGCGUGAGCGAAGAAGGCCGUCGGGUCGUAAAGCUCUGUUGUGAGGGACGAAGGAGCGCCGUUUGAAGAAGGCGGCGCGGUGACGGUACCUCACGAGGAAGCCCCGGCUAACUACGUG